rnacentral:rRNA from 1 species
UGGGGAAUUUUGCGCAAUGGGGGAAACCCUGACGCAGCAACGCCGCGUGGAGGAUGAAAUCCCCUGGGAUGUAAACUCCUUUCGAUCGGGAAGAUAAUGACGGUACCGAGAGAAGAAGCCCCGGCUAACUUCGUGCCAGCAGCCGCGGUAAUACGAGGGGGGCAAGCGUUGUUCGGAUUUAUUGGGCGUAAAGGGUGCGUAGGCGGUUUGGCAAGUCUUGUGUGAAAUCUAUGGGCUCAACCCAUAGCCUGCACGAGAAACUACCGGGCUUGAGUAUUGGAGAGGUGAGUGGAAUUUCCGGUGUAGCGGUGAAAUGCGUAGAUAUCGGAAGGAACACCUGUGGCGAAAGCGGCUCACUGGACAAUAACUGACGCUGAUGCACGAAAGCUAGGGGAGCAAAC